rnacentral:rRNA from 1 species
CUGGAGGUAUCAGAAGUGCGAAUGCUGACAUAAGUAACGAUAAAGCGGGUGAAAAGCCCGCUCGCCGGAAGACCAAGGGUUCCUGUCCAACGUUAAUCGGGGCAGGGUGAGUCGACCCCUAAGGCGAGGCCGAAAGGCGUAGUCGAUGGGAAACGGGUUAAUAUUCCCGUACUUGGUGUUACUGCGAAGGGGGGACGGAGAAGGCUAUGUUGGCCGGGCGA